UUCAAUGAUGAUGAAACUAUCUAAUCCCAGCUCUAUGAGAUCUUAAUUUGUUUAAGGUCAAGGAAUUACAUUGUUUAGUGUUUUAUCUGAGCCUUUUUUAGUUUUAAUUUCCCACAUUUGGUUUAAAUUUAUGAUUUUUGUUCAUACAAUUUUUUUUUUUUUACAAAAUUGAUUAGUUCCCGAUGAUGUACGAAUUUGACCAUGCUAAUUCUGAUAUUGAUGAAACAUUUUUCUGUCAUUUCUGAGGGGACA
rnacentral:lncRNA from 1 species